rnacentral:rRNA from 1 species
UACGGGGGGGGCAAGCGUUGUUCGGAAUUACUGGGCGUAAAGGGCUCGUAGGCGGCCAACUAAGUCAGACGUGAAAUCCCUCGGCUUAACCGGGGAACUGCGUCUGAUACUGGAUGGCUUGAAUCAGGGAGAGGGAUGCGGAAUUCCAGGUGUAGCGGUGAAAUGCGUAGAUAUCCGGAAGAACACCAAAGGGGAAGGCAGUGUCCUGGCUGGUUCCUGACGCUGAGGUGCGAAAGCUAGGGGAGCGAACGGG